rnacentral:rRNA from 1 species
CCUACGGGGGGCUGCAGUGGGGAAUAUUGGACAAUGGGCGAAAGCCUGAUCCAGCAAUGCCGCGUGAGUGAUGAAGGCCUUAGGGUUGUAAAGCUCUUUUACCAGGGAUGAUAAUGACAGUACCUGGAGAAUAAGCUCCGGCUAACUCCGUGCCAGCAGCCGCGGUAAUACGGAGGGAGCUAGCGUUGUUCGGAAUUACUGGGCGUAAAGCGCACGUAGCCGGCUACUCAAGUCAGAGGUGAAAGCCCGGGGCUCAACCCCGGAACUGCCUUUGAAACUAGGUAGCUAGAAUCUUGGUGAGGUCAGUGGAAUUCCGAGUGUAGAGGUGAAAUUCGUAGAUAUUCGGAAGAACACCAGUGGCGAAGGCGACUGACUGGACAAGUAUUGACGCUGAGGUGCGAAAGCGUGGGGAGCAAACAGGAUUAGAUACCCCGGUAGUCUAC